UUUGUUCUGAUCAGUGGGUCCAAACAUAGCAAGUACUUUCAAAGAGAUUAAUAAAACACUGAUCUGAAGGACUUCAGCACAAAGGUUACAUUGCUCUCCUUUCUUCUUUAUGUGUGUUCUUCUUUUUAAA